CCCCUUCGCGGGCCUAUCAAGCUUGUUGGUGGGGUAACGGCCUACCAAGGCGAUUACGGGUAGCCGGCCUGAGAGGGCGACCGGCCACACUGGGACUGAGACACGGCCCAGACUCCUGCGGGAGGCAGCAGUGGGGAAUAUUGCGCAAUGGGCGAAAGCCUGACGCAGCGACGCCGCGUGGGGGAUGACGGCCUUCGGGUUGUAAACCUCUUUUACCACCAACGCAGGCUCCGGGUUCUCUCGGGGUUGACGGUAGGUGGGGAAUAAGGACCGGCUAACUACGUGCCAGCAGCCGCGGUAAUACGUAGGGUCCGAGCGUUGUCCGGAAUUAUUGGGCGUAAAGAGCUCGUAGGCGGCGUGUCGCGUCUGCUGUGAAAGACCGGGGCUUAACUCCGGUUCUGCAGUGGAUACGGGCAUGCUAGAGGUAGGUAGGGGAGACUGGAAUUCCUGGUGUAGCGGUGAAAUGCGCAGAUAUCAGGAGGAACACCGGUGGCGAAGGCGGGUCUCUGGGCCUUACCUGACGCUGAGGAGCGAAAGCAUGGGGAGCGAACAGGAUUAGAUACCCUGGUAGUCCAUGCCGUAAACGUUGGGCGCUAGGUGUGGGGACUUUCCACGGUUUCGCGCUGCCGUAUGCUAGGACGCAAUAACAUAUGCGUGCCGCCGUGGAGGAAGAUAACCAAAGAAAUCA
rnacentral:rRNA from 1 species